GACGAACGCUGGCGGCGUGCCUAAUACAUGCAAGUCGAGCGAACCAAUAAGAAGCUUGCUUUUUGUUGGUUAGCGGCGGACGGGUGAGUAACAUGAGGUUAGCCUGCCUGUAAGACCGGGAUAACUCCGGGAAACCGGUGCUAAUACCGGAUAGAUUAUCUUUCCGCAUGGAGAGAUAAGGAAAGAUGGCUAUUGCCAUCACUUACAGAUGGGCCCGCGGCGCAUUAGCUAGUUCGUGAGGUAACGGCUCACCAAGGCGACGAUGCGUAGCCGACCUGAGAGGGGGAUCGGCCACACUGGGACUGACACACGACCCAGACUCCGAGGGGAGGCAGCGGUAGGGAAUCUUCCGCGAUGGACGAAAGACUGACGGAGCAACGCAGCGUGAGCGAAGAAGGUCUUCGGAUCGUAUAGCUCUGUUGUUAGGGAAGAACAAGUAUCGGAGGAAAUGCCGUUACCUUGACGGUACCUGAAGAGAAAGCAACGGCUAACUACGUG
rnacentral:rRNA from 1 species